GGGCCAAAGCCCAACCUAUCCAAAGUCUAAAACAAAGUAUGAAAGUAAAACCUAACUACUACAUUUUCUUUGUCACGCCGCUUUCACCCAUUCUCUCUCCUCUCUUUGUUUUCAAUAUUUAUCAUCAAGAUUUUCAGAUUCAAGGAAAUUCACUUUUUUUUUCUUUUUUUUUAAAGGGAAUUCACUUGUUAAAAGGUCAAUUAUCCUCGCAUUAUAUGUCAUUUUGUUCAAUCUAUGCUCGUUAAUCCUCCACCGUUCUUUCGUCAAGGUGACUAGCUUGAGAAGUCAAAUGAUGAACGAAUGAAGUUUAUGAACAUAGAUCUGGUUGAGAUAAUUUAAAGAAGAAAGCCUACUUAGACUUGAGCCAUACUUGUAAUAUCACCAAGUUUAUACUAUUAUUUUGGUUGGAAAUGUAAUUGUCUAAUUAUUGAUUGAAUAAAAUUAUACAAAAGGUUUCUGGAAUUACCAGGUUGAA